CCUACGGGAGGCUGCAGUGAGGAAUAUUGGUCAAUGGGCGCGAGCCUGAACCAGCCAAGUCGCGUGAGGGAGGACGGCCCUACGGGUUGUAAACCUCUUUUGCCGGGGAGCAACGGGCGCCACGUGUGGCGCCACUGAGAGUACACGGAGAAAAAGCAUCGGCUAACUCCGGGCCAGCAGCCGCGGUGAUACGGAGGAUGCGAGCGUUAUCCGGAUUUAUUGGGUUUAAAGGGUGCGUAGGCGGAUCGUUAAGUCAGUGGUCAAAUUGAGGGGCUCAACCCCUUCCCGCCAUUGAAACUGGCGUUCUUGAGUGGAAGAGAAGUAUGCGGAAUGCGUGGUGUAGCGGUGAAAUGCAUAGAUAUCACGCAGAACCCCGAUUGCGAAGGCAGCAUGCCGGCUUCCGACUGACGCUGAAGCACGAAAGCGUGGGGAUCGAACAGGAUUAGAUACCCCAGUAGUC
rnacentral:rRNA from 1 species